rnacentral:rRNA from 1 species
CAGCCGCCGCGGUAAUACCGGCGGCCCGAGUGGCGGCUAAUAUUAUUGGGCCUAAAGCGUCCGUAGCCGGGCUGGGAAGUCCUCCGGGAAAUCUGGUCGCUUAACGAUCCGACUUCCGGAGGGUACUGCUGGCCUAGGGACCGGGAGAGGCCGAGGGGAUUCCCGGGGUGGGGGUGAAAUCCUGUAAUCCCGGGAGGACCACCUGUGGCGAAGGCGCUCGGCUGGAACGGGUCCGACGGUGAGGGACGAAGGCCAGGGGAGCGAACCGGAUUAGAUACCCGGGUAGUCCUGGCUGUAAACGAUGCGGACUAGGUGUCGGGCAAGCUAAGGGCUUGUCCGGUGCCGCAGUGAAGCCGUUAAGUCCGCCGCCUGGGGAGUACGGCCGCAAGGCUGAAACUUAAAGGAAUUGGCGGG